rnacentral:misc_RNA from 1 species
UUGAUUCAUUUGUUUCGUUACUCAGAAGGAGAUUCCGCCGGCGGCGUAGGCAAGAGUUUGGGUCCCCCGGCGGGCGCCUGGGUCCGGGCCUCCCCCCCCCGGGGGGGUUCGGGCGGUCCGCCGAAGCAACGUGAGGUAAGUUCACAGGGGUUUGGGAGUUGAUAACUCGGUAAUGAUCCCUCCGCUGGUUCACCAACGGAGA